UAAAGUGGCGAACGGCUGAGUAACACGUGGGCAACCUGCCCUUUGCACUGGGAUAGCCUCGGGAAACCGAGGUUAAUACCGGAUACUCCAUAUUUGUCGCAUGGCGAAUAUGGGAAAGCUCCGGCGGCAAAGGAUGGGCCCGCGGCCUGUUAGCUAGUUGGCGGGGUAGUGGCCUACCAAGGCAAUGAUGGGUAGCCGGGUUGAGAGACCGACCGGCCAGAUUGGGACUGAGACACGGCCCAGACUCCUACGGGAGGCAGCAGAC
rnacentral:rRNA from 1 species